rnacentral:ncRNA from 1 species
CGUAUGGUGUGCGGAGAGAGUCCGUAUAGCGAUGCGGCCCAAUUGAGGU